GAAGUAAUGACUGCUGUUGCAUAUGAGGAAGUCCAUUAGGGGGGCCAUAAUACCCUUGCCAGUACAUUGGCAAAGCAAGCCCACCACCACUUGGAUUUGGGGGAGAUGGCGUAGGAGAAGCUCCCCAAGACCCUACAUUUCCUCCAGGAUGAUAUAAAGGCAACCCACCCUGGAAAUUAGAUCCUGGAAUUCCCAUAGGCAUGGCCUGAGAAUUAAUAUCAGGCAAAGGCCCACUAAC
rnacentral:misc_RNA from 1 species